rnacentral:tRNA from 1 species
GCCGGGGUAGCAUAGUUUGGCUAAUGCGCUGGACUCAUGAUCCAGAGGGCUGUGGCACCAGCGCCCAGGCCGGAUAGAGAGCGUGGGUUCAAAUCCCAUCCCCGGCA